GUUGGUCCAGAGUACGAAGAGCUAAUUCUGAAUAUCCCAGCAGCGACAUGACUCACGAUAGAACGAGCUGAAACGAACAAAAAGAAA